rnacentral:rRNA from 1 species
CACGUAGGGGGCGAGCGUUGUCCGGAUUUAUUGGGCGUAAAGAGCUCGUAGGCGGCUCGGUAAGUCAGGUGUGAAACCUCGGAGCUUAACUCCGAAACUGCAUUCGAUACUGCCGUGCUUGAGGACUGGAGAGGAGACUGGAAUUUACGGUGUAGCGGUGAAAUGCGUAGAUAUCGUAAGGAAGACCAGUGGCGAAGGCGGGUCUCUGGACAGUUCCUGACGCUGAGGCACGAAGGUCAGGGGAGCAAACGGG